UACGAAGGGGGCUAGCGUUGCUCGGAAUCACUGGGCGUAAAGGGUGCGUAGGCGGGUCUUUAAGUCAGGGGUGAAAUCCUGGAGCUCAACUCCAGAACUGCCUUUGAUACUGAGGAGCUUGAGUCCGGGAGAGGUGAGUGGAACUGCGAGUGUAGAGGUGAAAUUCGUAGAUAUUCGCAAGAACACCAGUGGCGAAGGCGGCUCACUGGCCCGGUACUGACGCUGAGGUACGAAAGCGUGGGGAGCAAACAGG
rnacentral:rRNA from 1 species